AAACAACAGACUUUGUGAUAUUAGGCUUCAAUUAUGCUAUAUAUUGCUUGUUCUUCCAUUAUUUUCUUUUUCUCUUCUUCCUUUUUGCAGCUUCUUAUCAUUUGUGUAGCUUGGUUCGAUAAUAAGGUUUUUCUGGCAAGGACCGCAACGCGCACUUAAACCCCAGGAGGUCAAAGAAGCACAAGCGGUACAUUCAACAGCCUUCACUAUUUUCUUCUCGGAAGAAAUUCUACUCUUUUCAUCGAUGAUAGACUCAUCGGAAAUAAUAUUGACCUGAGCGCCUUCAUAGCGCACUCGAUUGGGUUUUGCGUUUUUUAGAAAUAAUUUCUUUGUGGAUGGCCUGAGAGAAGUAAUGGGGAUAAAAAAUAUAUA
rnacentral:ribozyme from 11 species